rnacentral:rRNA from 1 species
GACGAACCGUGCGAACGUUGUUCGGAAUCACUGGGCUUAAAGGGCGCGUAGGCGGGCCCCCUUGUCCGGGGUGAAAGCUUUCGGCUUAACCGGAAAAGUGCCCCGGAAACGGGGGGCCUGGAGGGAGGUAGGGGCGGCCGGAACUUCCGGUGGAGCGGUGAAAUGCGUUGAUAUCGGAAGGAACGCCGGUGGCGAAAGCGGGCCGCUGGACCUCUACUGACGCUGAGACGCGAAAGCGUGGGGAGCAAACAGG